UAAAGGUAUUCCGGUAGACGAUGGGGAUGCGUUCCAUUAGAUAGUAGGCGGGGUAACGGCCCACCUAGUCUUCGAUGGAUAGGGGUUCUGAGAGGAAGGUCCCCCACAUUGGAACUGAGACACGGUCCAAACUCCUACGGGAGGCAGCAGUGAGGAAUAUUGGUCAAUGGGCGAGAGCCUGAACCAGCCAAGUAGCGUGAAGGAUGACUGCCCUAUGGGUUGUAAACUUCUUUUAUAAAGGAAUAAAGUCGGGUAUGGGUACCCGUUUGCAUGUACUUUAUGAAUAAGGAUCGGCUAACUCCGUGCCAGCAGCCGCGGUAAUACGGAGGAUCCGAGCGUUAUCCGGAUUUAUUGGGUUUAAAGGGAGCGUAGAUGGAUGUUUAAGUCAGUUGUGAAAGUUUGCGGCUCAACCGUAAAAUUGCAGUUGAUACUGGAUAUCUUGAGUGCAGUUGAGGCAGGCGGAAUUCGUGGUGUAGCGGUGAAAUGCUUAGAUAUCACGAAGAACUCCGAUUGCGAAGGCAGCCUGCUAAGCUGCAACUGACAUUGAGGCUCGAAAGUGUGGGUAUCAAACAGGAUUAGAUACCCUGGUAGUCCACACGGUAAACGAUGAAUACUCGCUGUUUGCGAUAUACUGCAA
rnacentral:rRNA from 1 species